AGCACUUAUCGGCUGUUGUACUUUAGUGUAGGUAUAAACAUAAAAUAAGUGCUAAGAUAGAAACCUUCUCUUGCAACCCACAACAAAUUGAUUUGUAUAUGUUGUGUUACUUACGGGAAGGGACAAC